GACGGAGGGUGCAAGCGUUAUCCGGAAUGAUUGGGCGUAAAGCGUCCGUAGGUGGCAGUUCAAGUCUGCUGUGAAAGACCGGGGCUUAACUUCGGAAAGGCAGUGGAAACUGAACAGCUAGAGUAUGGUAGGGGCAGAGGGAAUUCCUGGUGUAGCGGUGAAAUGCGUAGAGAUCAGGAAGAACAUCGGUGGCGAAGGCGCUCUGCUGGACCAUAACUGACGCUCAGGGACGAAAGCUAGGGGAGCGAAUGGG
rnacentral:rRNA from 1 species